rnacentral:lncRNA from 1 species
GAACAUCAAAUUCUCUAGUAUUAGUCAAAAAUUACAUGCUUGGCAAUUCAACAUACUUAUUUGAUAUUUACAAUCCAUGGCCUAUUGCCCAAUUAUUGUCCAAGCACCAUGCAAACACCAAAAACAAAGAAAAUAAACAAAGAAUAUUUUGAAAUUUUUGAAAAAGUGCAUAGAAACAAAAAAAUAAACAUAUAAAAAAAAUAGACAAGCAAACAAAACACAUAAAUUAAAAUUUCUACACACACCCCCCACAUUUAAGUUACAAAUCGUCCCCAAUGUGUCCCAACUAAAGAUAAAGUAUAAGGAAACUCCCUUGGUUUAAGGUUAUGUGAAGCAAAAUGGUGGAGUCGUCCUUAAACUUCUUUGAAGCUCUCAAUGUUGUGUAGCUCUUGAUGGGUAGACCUACAUAGAAAAACAAAGCAGACACCACAAAAACAAAAUAUACAACAAAAAGAAAAUAAAAACAACAUAAAAACUAGCAAAAAGAAAACUUAUCGAAUUUUGGGCGACCCGUAUCCC